GAUGAACGCUGGCGGCGUGCCUAAUACAUGCAAGUAGAACGCUGAAGCUUGGUGCUUGCACCGAGCGGAUGAGUUGCGAACGGGUGAGUAACGCGUAGGUAACCUGCCUGGUAGCGGGGGAUAACUAUUGGAAACGAUAGCUAAUACCGCAUAACAGUCGAUAUCGCAUGAUGUUGAUUUGAAAGGGGCAAAUGCUCCACUACCAGAUGGACCUGCGUUGUAUUAGCUAGUUGGUGAGGUAACGGCUCACCAAGGCGACGAUACAUAGCCGACCUGAGAGGGUGAUCGGCCACACUGGGACUGAGACACGGCCCAGACUCCUACGGGAGGCAGCAGUAGGGAAUCUUCGGCAAUGGGGGCAACCCUGACCGAGCAACGCCGCGUGAGUGAAGAAGGUUUUCGGAUCGUAAAGCUCUGUUGUAAGAGAAGAACGAGUGUGAGAGUGGAAAGUUCACGCUG
rnacentral:rRNA from 1 species